ACUGCAAGUCUACUCUGUCUGCACAGCUUAUUACAACAAUUACCACUCUAAUUAGACGAGAGGUUUAGGUGUCUUCUGAAGUUUGCACAGCAAAAGUUCAUUGACUCGGGUUUAAUCUCACAUCAUAAUGCAGAAUAGUAAGAUGCAGAAUGUAAUGAGAGAUGCCGCCACUGGGAUUUUGCUAUUUCUGGAACUCAAGCACAACUUCUAAAGGAGCCUGGACCGCAUUCAAAUCAAUAUAAUGUGGCUAGCCGCAUGAGGGAGCAAAAGAGGCAAAACAAGGACCACCUACUGCACCUACUGAAUAAUGCUUGUGAAACUGGGACCCAGGAAUCAUGCCCAUCCCUUUUCAUAUUCAACAUUCCUAACAGCUCCAGCAAUCAUAAAAAUAAUUAAAAUAAUGUAUGCCAGAAAAAGGGAUGUGUUAUUCAUCAGUUUCAAAUGGUGUAAGAUGAAGGAAAAAAAUCAGGAUGACGCCUCUGCAUUAUGAACAUGGAAAAUACCUGGGAUGAGAAAUUUUCCCUAUGCACCUUUUGUUUUCUGGGUGGGUGGCAUGAUGCAGACCAUAGAAUCUGUGAUCAUCUCCUUCAGAUCUUUUUUUUUUUUUCCACAGCAUUAAACAGAAGGUAAAAAAAACCUUGACAAAGGUAAAUCAAUGCUUCCCUGGAGAAUGAAGACAGCAGACAAGAGGGGGCUGCAACAAGGCAUGCAGGAGAAAACUAAACACCAUCUUUUUUUUUCUACCUGCACAAGUUGCCAUUUGCUGCAGAGACCAGGAGCCUAUUUUCCUGUAGUCUUUGAUAAAUCCUUUUCAGUGCAGGCUUCUGUAGAUCAUUCUUUUUACGCGUGGUUUAUAUUUUUUCCUCAAAGAGAAUAAAUCCAGGUUUCUUCUCUGCUCAGGUAAACAUGUUUACAGGCUCCUGCACAGACGCUGGGUGGCUCAAACCCACAUGUCACACACAUGUCGUCAGCAACAAGAAAUGCCCCCUUUCCUCUAAUCAUCAAAACGCUUUAGAUGAAGAAAUCCCAUUGCCUUGCUCUAACUUACCUUGCACCAAGUACCAAAACACAAUAUAAAUAUCAUACUUUUAAAAAUGAAGACAUUGGCAGCAUUCCAAAAAAAAAAAAAUCAUAUUUAACCAUCUAUUAAAGUGAUUCAUAUGUUGCAUGAAAGGGUUAAAUAACUACAGCUUCCAAAUUGUUUAGAAUUUUAAAAUAUUUGUCCUGAUAACAGUUUAUCAUCAGUCAAAAAACCCUUCCCACUAGUCUAAGGCAGGAAAUCCCAAUACAAAACCUUUACAAAAAAAAAAAAGAACCAAGAAAAAAAAAGGUUACAAAAUCUCAGCUGCACACAGCAGAGGGGGGUAUUACGAAAACAAGGAGCAUUCCCUCCCCCUUCCUUGAUUUGUAUUUUCCUGGACUUGAAAAAUGUCUUUAUUAACCCCCCCCCUUAGUGCUACAAGUCCCUGCAACAUGUUUCACAGCAAUGUUAUGGACUUCACCACUAGGUUUGAUAGGUAAUGUAUACAAGGCAUUUAACUCAUUUUUGUUCAAGAAACUUAUGCAAAAGGAAAGAGAACAAGAAUGGGAGGGGGCAGAUGAGAAAUAAAAGCCUGCCAGGGUUAGAGAGUGUGAAAUGUAAAUGCUAUCCUUAUAUAGGCUGCUGCAGUUGUUGGACAGAGAAAAAGGGGCCCCUUCUAUACAAAGUCACCACCCCUUAGAAGACAGGCAGGUACAUCUUGCAAGAAGAGGAGGAGGACUACAGAAAAAAAAAAUAACUUAAUGUAGGCCAUUUCCCUGUCUCUACCCCACCCAAAUUCAUAACCAUCAUCAUCUUCCCCAUCAUCAACUACCACAAGAAGGGGAAAACACCGUUAGAAAAUACCAGCCUAGGGGCAUAAACCUAUAUAUAGUUUUUUUUUUGUUUUGUUGUUCAUGUAAAUGGAAAAAUGAUGUUGCUACGUUGUAUUGCUUAGAUAUAAAUCAGUAAUUAAAAAUAGGAAUGGAAACUAGCUUAAGACAGAAGAGAGGGGUGUGACUUUAUAAGUAUAACAAAAUUACCUUAAAAGUUUCUUAAAAUAUAUUCAAAGGAGCCGUAAAGCAUGUAAAAAUGUUUGUUUUUUUAUUCAACCCAUCCCAUUCUGCAAUAAAUACGCUAUGCUUUAUAAAGUAUGCGUUGUAAAGUGAUCUGCAGCAAAGAAAGGGUUAAAAGCAAUGAAUGACAGAAGUGUCACCUUUGCAUUACAAUCGGUAGUAGGCGUGUAGCCCAUAUGUAGAGAGAAAUAAAAUGUAUAUACAACUAUACAAUCAAUAAAAAAAUAUACUGCAGCAACAGUGCCUUCCCCAUAACCCUGCCCCUAUGUUGGCUGAUCACCCAGGUAAAGAACUAUCGCAAGAAAAAACAAACAGGAUGAUAAUGAUAAAAAAGUAUAAAAAUGAUUUAAAAAGCAAAAGGUGCAAUAAUAAAAUGAAAGGUUUAUAGUGUCCCCUUCUUGUUCUCAUAACGUGGCCGCAGAUCCGCUACUUCACUACCUGCCCCGGGGGAGGAGGGCACAGAGGAGGAAGUUUGGAGUUGGUAGGAUAGAAAUAAAUACAUAAGAGUGAGACAGAAGGGUUUAUAUUACAAGAAAGUAUUAGUGGUGUUAUAGUAAGGUAGUGCCAGGGCUGCUGUCCCCUCCAUAAAUUAGCAUGUGAUUAGAUGCGUCUAACGGUCCAGGGAGCCGCUAGGCGGAGGAGGCAGCAGCCUGAGCUCAGCAGCAGCAGGUAAUGUAACGGUACACACAGAGCCGGCCCCUAGCCCUCACCCCUGGCUGCCCUGCACUCAGCACGGGGGGAGAGACCCUGAUCUCCCACCGUCCGUCCACGGGGCAACCCUGACACCCCACAAGCUCACCGUUAUUCCGUCUUGGGUUCGCCUGUUUUCUGCGCUUACACCUGGGGCCAUCCGCCAUGAUCCUCUCGCUCUUGUGUCUAAAUGCUCGAGUCACCUCCCUCCCCCGCCCCUCCUCGGCCCCCCCUAACACCACCUCCUCCCUCCCUGCUCUUUCUCUCUACUCAGCCCCCCUUCCCCAGCCAGCAGUGUCCGCACCUGGUUUACGACACUUCUUGUUUACGUCACCCCUGUGCUCUCCCGAUACCUCUGGGGGUUUAGGGGACUCCCCUCCUUAAUACUUUGGCUGUUGUAUAUCAGGGGGGUGAACUGUAAGGGGGACAGGAUGGGCUCAGGUGGUGACAGGAGGGGUCGUGACGCAUCUGACACCCCCAUAUGCAGUGGUACACUAGGGAAUUGACAGAGGCAGGAGGUGCAUAGAGGGUUUACACGAGGAGGAGCUCCUGUCUCUCCCCACCUCUUCUGCAUAGAGAGGCAGCUGAGUGACACCAUCUGACAGGAGCUGCUGCCAAACACAUCGUGUCUACUCAGCAUCCUGUGCCAGGGCUUCAGCCCACCUGCCAGACACGUAACCAGGUGGGGAGGGGCCUCUCGGACUGCAGCCUCCCUUGACACUUCAUCAUUGAUUUUCCACAGAGAGGGGAAGUGAAGUGUGAGGCAGCAGAAACUACAACAAAUGGAAAAUACAACAAAUGCAGCAGGAAACAAAUGGUUUUGAAGAAAUGAAACCCUAAUUUGUUGUUCAUGUAUUAGAUGUUAUAUUUUAAGACAAGUCCCAACUUAAGAACGGAGCAUAGUUAUCAUGAGGAGCUAUCAUUAUCUUGGAAAACAUUAUCAGAUAAAGGAUUAUUCCAUAUUCAUACAAAUAUUCCCAGCAGUUUCUCAUUCCUCACUGGUUUUUAGAAGAUGAUCUUGAAAUGCAAGUGACACCCCAGAGAGUCUUCUGCAUUGGUGGCACUAGGUCAUAAAAAUCUGGAGGGGGUGUGUGCAAAAAUUGACCACAGCUAUAUAUCAAGGGUGCAAAAGAUAACGUUGUGGGAAUCUUAUUUUCUACUAUUUCUUCCUUUAUUUUUAAGAUUCCCCUUUUCCCGCUGUCACCUCUGAGAGAGGGCAAUGGAAUUGCAAGAAAGGCCUUGCCUUGUAAAUUCUAGGCUCUUAAAGCGACAAAAAGUACAAAGAAAAAGGUCUAAUGUGUUAUAGUAUUUUAUUAUUUCAUUAGUGCCUGGUUAUAACUAUGGGGUUGAUCACAAUCAGUUGAUAGUUAUCUGCAAGUUUUCAAUGUGGGCAGCACUUUUUCUCGUUAUAUUUUCAGUGAAAAAUGGUCAUAUACCUAACAUUUUCUCAUCCUGUUUUUCUGAUCACAAUCCAAAUUUCGAAUACUCAAUACAUUUACCGACUCAUUUUUCAUUUAUUGAAUUCAAAAACAAAAAGGACUUGAUAAACCCCAUACUCAUUACCAAAUACCCCAAAAGUUAUCAAUUGUAACAUUGGUUUUGUUUAAAGGCAAUAAAUAUAUAGAUACACAUGCUUCUUAGUCUAUGAAUUUAGGUUAAAAAAAGCAAUGAUAAGCAUAUUUAAACUAAUAAAAAUGAACAAAAUUAAUAACCAAGCAAACACAUUGUCCCUAUACGAAUAGCACAAAAAACAACAUACACAUAUUUAUAAGUAAACAAAAUAGAAAAAUAACAGUAUGUAAAAUAUUUAGCCAAAUUAUGCUACCUGUUUUAAGACUUUUUUUGAGCAAAUCACCUUGAGUGCUAAUUAAUUCUAUGAGCUCCCGCUCCAGAUAGGUGCUGCCAGAGACUUGCAGGCCAGACACCCUGGUUCAGAAUCACUGCUGCAGCUUUUUUAUAACACUCAGACUGCCUUCCAGUGAUAGCUGAUAUGCCUGGAGGUUUUAGGUCACCUUCCUUGAUGUAAGAUAUUUGAACUAAAGCAGCUGGUGCUGCUGAAAUCGCAUUAUCCUGAAAUCUCCUCAGAAAUUGCUAGAGAAAACUAUUUACAUACAGUAAACUAGCCUAAUGCACAAAUUGCUGAAAUGUACACAUCUUUAUUUUAAAACGUGGUUUAACUAUG